GGCUCGGCUUGAUCUGUGAUGAACCCGAGCCAUGCUAACUGA
rnacentral:misc_RNA from 1 species